rnacentral:piRNA from 1 species
UAUAGAAAUCUCUUUGCCUGCGAUGGAUAU